UACGUAGGGGGCAAGCGUUGUCCGGAAUUAUUGGGCGUAAAGAGCGCGCAGGCGGCUUGGUAAGUCGGAUGUGAAAUCCCGAGGCUCAACCUCGGGUCUGCAUCCGAUACUGCCCGGCUAGAGGUAGGUAGGGGAGAUCGGAAUUCCUGGUGUAGCGGUGAAAUGCGCAGAUAUCAGGAGGAACACCGGUGGCGAAGGCGGAUCUCUGGGCCUUACCUGACGCUCAGGCGCGAAAGCUAGGGGAGCGAACUGG
rnacentral:rRNA from 1 species